rfam:Triticum urartu cultivar G1812 contig407213, whole genome shotgun sequence.
UACGUACUCCUUCCGUUCGGAAUUACUUGUCACGGAAAUGAAUGUAUCUAGACAUAUUUUAGUUCUAGAUAUAUUCAUUUCUGAGACAAGUAGUUCUGAACGGAGGGAGUAGAUG